GGAGGAUUCGACUAGCGGCCUAUGUCACACGCCUGGAACGCGUGCGGGGCUAACGCCCCUCAGGGGUUCAAAUCCCCUAUCCUCCGCCA
rnacentral:tRNA from 1 species